GGAAGAAAACUUUUUUUUUAAAUACCUAUCUUUACAUAAACUGCCUCAAUUGCAUCAAGAAAUUUUUUUCAGGGCCGAUAAGGGACCAUCCAUGAACACCGUGGAAACAUAGGCGGUAUAUGGAUGGCCCCUUGUCUAUUUUCCAGCAUUUUUCCUAGCUCCCAACGAUUCUCAAAGUCAAAAUCGCCUUCAUUUUCUCAAAAUUUAGAUCGGGUUGCCCAUCCCAAACUUGAGUAGUUUCUAUUUUAGCGAUUUUAGCCAGAUACAAUAUUUUACCCAAAAUAAAGAUGUCCUGUCUAAGCGUGCAUUUAACCUCAGCCACAGGGCACGAAACGUCACUUCGCGACUUCGCCAUAUCAACACAUUUCAUUAUUUCCUAAAACAAAUAGACAGAGCAACCUGAGGACGAUCGUCUCGGUCGGAAGCAUCAUCUAAGGCCACCGGGAUUCUAACUUUGCUUGUGGUUUCGCUGAAGUUUUUGGGGAAAAGUUGUUCCGACAACCCCACUCUUCUGGACACGGGGCACGUUGUUGAACGUUUCUUCCGUAGCCAUUUGACCACCCGAAGACAAGCCAAUCCUGAUCAUUGCAGCCUGAGGAAUCAUUUCCCAAUGUGUAACUGUUUGAAGCUGGCUGCAGCCCUCGGCGGUCAAGUCGGACACUUUUGAAUCGGAGGAUCAUUGCAAGGUUUGGCUCUCGGUUCCAGUAGCUGUUCAAAAUGGAAUCAGCUUCCGCAUCGAAGGCCCUGCUGUGGAAACAAGACGUGAGCAUUUCGUCUGGACAGGUUGGACACAGCCGAACCGGAACCGGCUUCGGUUAUACGUCAGCGUCUUCAGUCCAAGAGUUUCUGCCAUAAUAUUCAGGUGAGUACAUUCCGCACUGCUAAAAUCACAUAAUCUCGCUUAAUAAUCUGCCACGAGAUUGCAAUACAAAUGAAUUCUUAUUUCUGUUGCUCCGUUGAAUCUAAAAAUCGAUGCAAUUUUUUAAAUGCUUUUUUUCUCCUGAAUAUUAGAGUAUUUUAUAAUAUACAUCUUUAGUACUUUUUUUUAGCUUUAAUAAACAUCGCGAGUCGAUCUGAUCUUUUCGAUCAAACAAGUGAACGAAUGUUUUGAGUUUCAUUUUGCAAGUUUUGAUCAAACGCGUCAGUUCGAUUAAAAUGUUCAUAUGAAUGCGUUCCAUCUAACUGUUUGUACCAAUCAAAACGGUUCACCAAGAUUUAAAACAGUCCUGUACAUUCUA